rnacentral:rRNA from 1 species
UGGGGAAUAUUGCACAAUGGGCGAAAGCCUGAUGCAGCAACGCCGCGUGAGUGAUGACGGCCUUCGGGUUGUAAAACUCUGUCUUCAGGGACGAUAAUGACGGUACCUGAGGAGGAAGCCACGGCUAACUACGUGCCAGCAGCCGCGGUAAUACGUAGGUGGCAAGCGUUGUCCGGAUUUACUGGGCGUAAAGGGAGCGUAGGCGGAUGUUUAAGUGGGAUGUGAAAUACUCGGGCUCAACUUGAGUGCUGCAUUCCAAACUGGAUAUCUAGAGUGCAGGAGAGGAAAGGAGAAUUCCUAGUGUAGCGGUGAAAUGCGUAGAGAUUAGGAAGAAUACCAGUGGCGAAGGCGCCUUUCUGGACUGUAACUGACGCUGAGGCUCGAAAGCGUGGGGAGCAAA